rnacentral:rRNA from 1 species
UACAGAGGUGCCGAGCGUUAGGCGGAAUCACUGGGCUUAAAGCGUGUGUAGGCGGACCCGUCAGUGUCUUGUGAAAUCCCACGGCUCAACCGUGGAACGGCUGGGCAUACUGCAGGUCUUGAGAGACCUAGGGGCGAGCGGAACAGGCGGUGGAGCGGUGAAAUGCGUAGAUAUCGGGUGGAACACCGACGGUGAAAACAGCUCGCUGGGGGUCUUCUGACGCUGAGGCACGAAAGCCAGGGGAGCGAACGGG